UCGAUCCCAAUAUGACUGCCUUUAUAAAUAAAUGAAAAUUUAAACGAAGACAGCGUCGUUAUCCCUGAAACUCAUUAAGGGUUUCUUAAAUUUUUUUUGGCUGAUUUAAAAAAAACAAAAAUAAAAAUGAGAACCAAUCACGGAUCGCCACGUGUCAAUGAGACCUGCAAACAGUGCAAGAAACGAAUAAAGCACGUUCCUUAUUUUACAUAUAGAAGAACCGUAUAUUUCCAAUUUCGAUGAAGCCUAUGCCAUAAGAACCUUUUUUUUUUAUGCGAUAAAAAUGCUCUCAGGCUUUCG
rnacentral:lncRNA from 1 species